CCAACUGAAGUCGCCUUUAAGAGCUUAAUACCCCUCUGUUGAAAACCUCGGCCAAUGGUCAUACCUACUCACGUUAUACUUAUUGCAUGGAUUGACGUUUAUCUGACAUGCCAUGACUUUGCACCGCAAAAUCGGCAGACUGUUUUGAACAGAAAAUUACACACAAGGCGUCUCCAUGGGCGUAGGCAGGUUUUACCAUCUAUUUCACUGGCUGACUACGCCCUUGAGCGUCUCCAGGGGGCCUAGCGCGAAAACCGAAAUUCGCAAAUUGCAAAUAUUUUGCUACAUCAACAUUGCUCCUAUCUGGCUUUGUCUAUGCAAUACAACUUUGAAAACAAAUAAAAUAAUUUUUAUCAAAUAUUUUGAUUUACUUUUGUCACACUACCGUAUUAUAUUUCAGAUUGUCUUUGUCUAUGUUCAUAAAAUCUAUGGAGGUCAAAGGCAUAUUUACCCUCCAUAAGGCCUUACACUUGUAUCUGGCCGAUUAGAACAUAGACAAAAGUCUGCAAUGUCAAUGCUGUCAAUAAAGUAAUUGACGCAAAACUGUCAAAGUUUUCAUAUAAAAUUAUGGAGUGUGGAAUUAAGAGGAGUGGCAUUUCUUAUGGUAGAACUGUUGCAAAAGUGUCCAGCUGUCAGCUAUAAAAAUAGUUCCAAAUCUCCCCAGAGUAGCGCUAGAGUAGCUAAGAACCUAGGCGUUAUUGACGGAGUGGAUUGCGCUGUCUAUGAUUUGAUUUUUUUUACAUGGAGAUUUCGUUCCUUAUCUCCACCUUCCGUAAUAUAAAAUGAUUAAAUAAUGAUUUAUGUUCUUGCUACGCUACGCUCGCGCUACGUUGGCAAGCAAGUCCGUGGCGUCCCAGUUGGUCCACCUCAAAGCCACAGGAGCAUUUGUGCGGUGCGCAGAUUGGGGCCCCUAAGCGUAGCCCCAUUGCCAAUCGGAGUGUUUCGGAGUCUAGAUGGAAAUAUUCUGAGGUGCUCUAACGCCAAAUAGUCUCACGUAGACAGCAGAAGAGGCAAUAAAGAAAGAACAGUGUUCGAGUGGAUGUCAUCUGGCAUGCCGAGCCUUCCGGGCAUUCCUAAUCCGCCAACUGUAGCUGCGAGGAAUUCCAAAUUUGAACUGUGGAUGAAGUGCAUUAUACGCCCGCGCUACUCGUAGUACCGCUGCACGCGAUGGUGUAACAAGACGUUUACAACCAAUUUAUUGUUGCAAAUAGCUCGCGGAAUUCUGCAUUGUUACACGUUAGUUCAUGUUUUGUUGAAGUUUGUGUACAAAUUAAUUGAGCAUAUUACAAAACAUUAUUGAAUCCGCAAUGGGUUUGUCCUCAGCAAUAGCUUUGGAUUGAGAUCAAGUAUAAGUCAACAUACAGAGUUUUUUAGGCACCUGCAUUAAUUUACGGGGUGAAUAUACAGGUCAUUCUGAGCAGUUUUUACUAUGGGUCUAACCCCGAAAUCAUGCAAAAAUAUUUCAGGUCAGGGUGUUUGCCUGUUUCAUACAUUUUGGCUGUCUGACCUUGACAUUUUUGAAAAGAAAAGGAGAGUACAUUUUGGAGUUUGUCCUAUAGUAACGGUUGCUAAGUAUGACCUAUAUAUUCACCCCGUAAAUUAUUACAGGUAACUAAAUAAACUCCUUGUAUAAAUUAAAUGAAGUGAAGAAUUAAGAACUAUAAAUAAAUAAAUAAUUAGGGGACAAUCUUACACAGAUCGCCCUAGCCUCAAACUAAGCAAAGAUUGUACUAUGGGGACUAGGCGACAUUAUACAUACGUAUAUAAAUAAAUAUAUCUAUAGAUAACAUCCAUAACUCAACAAAUAUUCGUGAUAAACACACAAAUAAAUGCCCUUACCGGAAUUCGAACCCAGGACCACCUGCUUCGUAGGCAAGGUCACUACCGACUAGCCUUAGGAGACCGUCCAAUAUCUUUCGUGGAAAAAUCUUUAUUUUCAGGCAAGUACUGUAAGGCCCAUAGAAUAGAUCCUAAUAUAGAUUGACAUUAAAACUAUCAUCCGUACGAGUACCCAAUACAAAAUAUAAGUAUCUUUAAACUAAAAACACAAGCCAAAAUACAAGUACCUAAAUAGCGCUUAGAUUCCUUAAAACCAAAAAAAGGGCAAACCAA